UACAGAGGGGGCAAGCGUUAUCCGGAUUCACUGGGUUUAAAGGGUGCGUAGGUGGGCAGGUAAGUCAGUGGUGAAAUCUCCGGGCUUAACUCGGAAACUGCCAUUGAUACUAUCUGUCUUGAAUACCGUGGAGGUUAGCGGAAUAUGUCAUGUAGCGGUGAAAUGCUUAGAUAUGACAUAGAACACCAAUUGCGAAGGCAGCUGGCUACACGAAUAUUGACACUGAUGCACGAAAGCGUGGGGAUCAAACAGG
rnacentral:rRNA from 1 species